GGUUCUAUGGUGUAAUGGUUAGAACUCUGGACUUUGAAUCCAGCGAUCUGAGUUCAAAUCCCAGUAGAACCU
rnacentral:tRNA from 1 species